UACAGAGGUCUCAAGCGUUGUUCGGAUUCAUUGGGCGUAAAGGGUGCGUAGGUGGCGCGCUAAGUCAGGUGUGAAAUUUCGGAGCUUAACUCCGAAACUGCAUUCGAUACUGCGGUGCUUGAGGACUGGAGAGGAGACUGGAAUUUACGGUGUAGCAGUGAAAUGCGUAGAUAUCGUAAGGAAGACCAGUGGCGAAGGCGGGUCUCUGGACAGUUCCUGACACUGAGACACGAAGGCCAGGGGAGCAAACGGG
rnacentral:rRNA from 1 species